rnacentral:rRNA from 1 species
AGAGUUUGAUCAUGGCUCAGGAUGAACGCUGGCGGCGUGCCUAACACAUGCAAGUCGAGCGAACCCUUCGGGGUGAGCGGCGGACGGGUGAGUAACGCGUGGGUAACCUGCCCUGUACACACGGAUAACAUACCGAAAGGUAUGCUAAUACGAGAUAAUAUGUAAUGAUCGCAUGGUCGAUACAUCAAAGCUCCGGCGGUACAGGAUGGACCCGCGUCUGAUUAGCUAGUUGGUGAGGUAAUGGCUCACC